UCUCGAUUGGUCUAGUGGUUAGGAUACCUGCUUGUCACUCUUAGCUUGAGACGUAGUCUUAAGUUAACAAUGAUAGUUCGCAGGUGGCCGGGGUUCGAUUCCCCGAUCGAGAG